AAUAAAUAGUAUUACCUCAUAGAGAGGGCCCUUCAUGGGAAGCAAAGGGCACUGAAUUGCUGCUCUUUCUCCAGCAACAUGCGGCCCAAGAUUUCCAGAUCUCCUUUGCUCUGAAAACCCAGGGAUGAGAAUACUUCCUCACAAGACCCCACCUCCGGCUGCAGGCAAGACCAGCCACCCCAUGACCUUCAAUCACUGUGUCCUGUGACUUCAGAAACAAAUUCCGUCAUGUCUCCAACACCAGCUCUCCUGUAUCACCAUGAGGUGUCCAAGUUUCCCACAUCACCCAGUUUCACGCAGAGAAUACUACAUUAUUAUGCUUAUUGGAGUCACCCAGGAACAACAUCUUGCCAAAGACAAUGGCUAAUUCAAUGUUUUCAUCUGUCACUUCCUCCUCUGAAAUAUUUUUUCUCCAGGAAUGAAGGAGCAUGUCUAUAACCAACUUCUGGGAAGCAAAUAAGCAGAGAGAGAAGAAAGAUCAGAGGCCUUGAUGGUCUAGGAAAUGAAUACGUAGUAUCUCAACAAUAUAUUGU
rnacentral:lncRNA from 1 species